CCUACGGGGGGCAGCAGUGGGGAAUAUUUGGCAAUGGGCGCAAGCCUGACCCAGCAACGCCGCGUGAAGGAAGAAGGCUUUCGGGUUGUAAACUUCUUUUGACAGGGAAGAGUAGAAGACAGUACCUGUCGAAUAAGCCACGGCUAACUACGUGCCAGCAGCCGCGGUCAUACGUAGGUGGCAAGCGUUGUUCGGAUUUACUGGGUGUAAAGGGCGUGUAGGCGGGUUGUUAAGUCAGAUGUGAAAGCCUGCGGCUUAACCGCCGAACUGCAUUUGAAACUGUUGUUCUUGAGUACUGGAGAGGCAGACGGAAUUCCUGGUGUAGCGGUGAAAUGCGUAGAUAUUAGGAGGAACACCAGUGGCGAAGGCGGUCUGCUGGACAGCAACUGACGGUGAGGCGCGAAGGCGUGGGGAGCAAACAGGAUUAGAUACCCGAGUAGUC
rnacentral:rRNA from 1 species